UUCAAUGGUGGCUCAGGCAGGGCAACCUUCGGGUUGGCCGGGUUUCUAACGUUCGCCGGUACUGCGAACCCUGUCUGAGCUACCACCAAU
rfam:Rahnella aquatilis CIP 78.65 = ATCC 33071 plasmid pRahaq201, complete sequence.